rnacentral:rRNA from 1 species
AUUGAACGCUGGCGGCAGGCUUAACACAUGCAAGUCGAGCGGAGCGAGGGUGCUUGCACCUUAGCUUAGCGGCGGACGGGUGAGUAAUGCUUAGGAAUCUGCCUAUUAGUGGGGGACAACAUUCCGAAAGGAAUGCUAAUACCGCAUACGCCCUACGGGGGAAAGCAGGGGAUCUUCGGACCUUGCGCUAAUAGAUGAGCCUAAGUCGGAUUAGCUAGUUGGUGGGGUAAAGGCCUACCAAGGCGACGAUCUGUAGCGGGUCUGAGAGGAUGCUCCGCCACACUGGGACUGAGACACGGCCCAGACUCCUACGGGAGGCAGCAGUGGGGAAUAUUGGACAAUGGGCGGAAGCCUGAUCCAGCCAUGCCGCGUGUGUGAAGAAGGCCUUUUGGUUGUAAAGCACUUUAAGCGAGGAGGAGGCUACUUAGAUUAAUACUCUGGGAUAGUGGACGUUACUCGCAGAAUAAGCACCGGCUAACUCUGUGCCAGCCGCCGCCGCGGUAA